rnacentral:tRNA from 1 species
AGAAACUUAGGUUAAUUCUAAACCAGAGGCCUUCAAAGCCUCAAACAGGGCUUAAACCCCUAGCUUCUG